rnacentral:rRNA from 1 species
UACGUAGGGGGCUAGCGUUGUCCGGAAUCAUUGGGCGUAAAGCGCGUGUAGGCGGUCCGGUAAGUCCGCUGUGAAAGUCGGGGGCUCAACCCUCGGAUGCCGGUGGAUACUGUCGGGCUUGAGUACGGAAGAGGCGAGUGGAAUUCCUGGUGCAGCGGUGAAAUGCGCAGAUAUCAGGAGGAACACCAAUGGCGAAGGCAGCUCGCUGGGACGGUACUUACGCUGAGGCGCGAAAGCGUGGGGAGCAAACAGG